AUUGAACGCUGGCGGCAGGCUUAACACAUGCAAGUCGAGCGGAGUGAUGGUGCUCGCACUAUCACUUAGCGGCGGACGGGUGAGUAAUGCUUAGGAAUCUGCCAUUUAGUGGGGGACAACAUUCCGAAAGGAGUGCUAAUACCGCAUACGUCCUACGGGAGAAAGCAGGGGAUCUUCGGACCUUGCGCUAAAUGAUGAGCCUAAGUCGGAUUAGCUAGUUGGUGGGGUAAAGGCCUACCAAGGCGACGAUCUGUAGCGGGUCUGAGAGGAUGAUCCGCCACACUGGGACUGAGACACGGCCCAGACUCCUACGGGAGGCAGCAGUGGGGAAUAUUGGACAAUGGGCGGAAGCCUGAUCCAGCCAUGCCGCGUGUGUGAAGAAGGCCUUUUGGUUGUAAAGCACUUUAAGCGAGGAGGAGGCUACUAGUACUAAUACUACUGGAUAGUGGACGUUACUCGCAGAAUAAGCACCGGCUAACUCUGUGCCAGCCGCCGCGGUAACAC
rnacentral:rRNA from 1 species